AGUCAGUACGCUCAAUUGUGUAGAAUUUAAGGGGAAGCAGUAACUAAUGCAAAGAGAUGUGAUUCAGAAAACAACCCAUCGUAAGUUGUGUAUGCCGAUCUGUAGAAUAAAAAUAAAUACAAUAAGAGUGUACAGAGUAGAAAUAAAAUGUAAUUAAUGAAACCAUAAGAACAAACCAAAUCGGGCCAUGGCAGCCAUUGUUGUUGUUUUGCACCACAGAAGAGGGAGCCACCUCAAUGCACAAGUAGUGAUGGGCAUCCACUGUUAACCUGAAGUACCCAUCCACAAGAGAUGCAAAGGAAACAGCCUCAGCCCAAGAUGCCAUAUGCAAUUCCUGAUGAAACAAAAAGUUAAAUCCACUAGUUGCCGGUAAUGUAACGAGCUGGAAAAGACGGUGGACGAUGUGUGACACAGUCGCAGCUCAGCCAGCAGCAGGGUCGCCCCCUCCCGGCUCGAUGCCAAGCGAACUGGAGUAAAUGAAAAAUGCAUACGGGAAGAUUACACCACGGAAGGGAAACGCGUGGUGUCACACAGGGUUUCUGCUUCAAGGAAAUAUACUCGGCACCACUAACAUGUUUCUGCGCAACGACUGUAACAUUGUAAGUAAUGUUGCUAGACUUUGUCGUUUUCUCAAAGAUUUAUUUCAAUCGCAACUCGGCGACCGCUUGUAAAAGCAGAGCUUAGCUCUCUCGGUCAAAAAGGUUUCCGACCCCUGACCUAAACCCAUGACUAUCUUUAGAUUUUGCUUUUUUAAAACUUCUUUAUCAUAUAUAUACAUUUAUUUUUUGUCACGAAUGGGACACUCCGCAACUAUGUAAAAAUUUCCAUGUUAACCUAAUUUGUCAGCAGUAUACUGGUUGAUGUCAAAACUGAUACAGAACAAAAUAUAAAUUGAUAAGUUCAUAGUUUUAUGCAUUUAUUAUGAAAGUAUUUAUCAGUUAAACAGUGCAAAUUAGAGGACAGCUUUGCAAGUCAAUUUACAGUGUGCGCCCCUGAAUCUUCUGCUUGCGCCCCUAAAAUUUUAAGUUAGGGGCCACUGUGCUUCUAGUAAACAAUGUUAGUCAGGAGCCCUGGGCUCUGAGCUGGUGGAUGGUGGUCGCUACUUGGAGACAGCCCGCUGUAUUAUUGGUUAGGUCUGUUACGUGCUGCUACAAUAAAAUGAGUGAAGCCAUCUGAUUCUUCUCCUUCCUCACCCUCAGCCGAGGGUAUUACAAUAUAUUUGCCGUCGAAGGGGGCAACGAUACUGACGACAUCAGUGCUCGUGGUUCGUGUAUGAAAACAACAUGUCUUCACGUAGCAACCUUCCACGUGGCCUAACUGCCGUCAACGCUAUACAAGAAUCAAGUCAACUAUUGACUACGCUCAUUACAGAGCCAAUUAGAGCAGAGAAAAACAAUUCAGUGCAUCCAUUGAAUAUUUGGCAAACAAGGAGACACGCCGGGAAGAGAGAGAAGUGUGGACGGGACUACGGAGGACUGCAAUGUGGUGGGAUAACUAUCAGUGAUGUAGUAGACGACCGAGCGAGGAUUGAAAGCCUUUGCAUGUUCAAAGAACCCCUUUUUGCAAUGUCCAAUGUGUCUGCAACCACAAAUAUAAGUAAGGCCUACAUGUAAGCUCUGACAAAUUGGAGGUUACAUGCACUUGUGCAUUUCUGUGUGCACGCAGUUACCCACACAAAAUGGUCGUCUAAACGUGGAAUUAAAAUAAGAGCAAAACACCACUUUUGCUUAAGAUCAUUGUCAUGUAAACCUAGGAAGGUUAGAAUCAUUAGCCUUUAUUGAACCACAAUUCAAAAGCAAUGUCUGAGUUUUUUUUGGUUAACUUUCAGUACAUUUUAUUAUUAAUUUGGUCUGAUUCUAUUUAUCUCAAUUACUGUUGUGCAUCUCAAUUUUGUCCAAAUGUCUAAAUGGAAAUAAUAUUUUUUUCAUGUGUGCUAAAAAAAUAACCUCAUAAAGAUAUCAUUCUGAUAUUAUACUGUUUAAUGAAUACACUAACAACAAUUACAUACAAAAUGUACGGAACAUGUCACAAAAAUACAAAGAUGCAGUAUACCAGGCAGUGUCCAUCAACUAAAAUUAGAGGAAUUCAAUGUCUUACCAUAAUUACUCCCAUUCACGAUGUCUCCAUCUUUUGUUACACUCAUCGAAAUAGGCUCAGUUAUCUCACUGCCCAUGCCAUUGGUUAGCCCUUCCAAGGUAGCCAGAUACUUCAUCUUCAGGUCAUACAGAGGGAUGUCACUGACCUUGACUGUUCGGUAAUUGAAUUCACUGAGGAAUUUCUUGAAGACAUUGUUGAUGCGGAUCCGGGUCAAAAAAUUACGUUGCUUUAUGUUUGCGUUCAUUGCCUCUGGAAUGAAACGCUUGUAGCUGUAGGAAUGAUAACAGAGAACAAAAACUAAUCUGUUAGGAAUAUUUCUCAGUACCUAACGCGUGUCAUAAACCUUUUUUCUGACUUCCAUAAAUUAUGCAUCCCAUUAAAUCUUUGAAUUAUCUUACGCUUUUCCAUAUUAUGUAUAUACUGUUUGGCAUGUCUUUAGAGUAUAUUGUUCACAUUCUCACAAUCUACUAGUUCUGUGUAUGUCACCGUCUUAUAAUAAUACAUUUUAGUUCACCAUGCCAUUAAAGACACCCAAGGACACUUUACAACCAAAUUUACAAAUGAUAUAAAUUAAAGUAGACAUAAGGACAGAUUAAAAGCAAAAUCAAAGUAAUCAAAGUAACAGGGACGAAGUCAUAUUGUAAAACUUAACAGAGGAUCAAGCUGAAUCAUUUAAACAGAUACGAGUCGGGAUUUGAAAAGAGGGAAAGAAGUUAUAUUGUCUUCAGUUCUUCAGCAGUUAUUCAGUUGUAAAUUUUACAUGAAAAGAAUUGCAUAUUCCUGUUUGUUUAUCAUUUUUGCUUUUUUUGUUGUUGUUGAUUAUGAGUUACAUUUAAGAGAUACCAAUGUAUAUAGAAAUGCAAAGAUCAGAAAAGUCAACAUUGUGACACAUUCUUUGAUGUGAGUUUCUUACUUGACUGCUUGGGAAGCAGCAGACAGGGGGAUGUCCAUGCUCUUGGCAUAGUGGGUAAUGGCAAGCACAGCCAUUCCCAGACAUUCGUUUUCGAGUUCGUGCUGCUCUGACUCAGAGACGCAUGUUCGAAGAGGUAAGAAACCCGUGUGAAAAUCAUGCUGACCCUGGAAGACAAAAACAGAAAAAGUUCAUAAUAAAUAAAAUAGUUUAUUCUGGAUUCCAAAGUCUGGCUGGCAGCAGGAAAGACUGCACCGGGGGUGGAGGUGUUAGUUACACUACUCUCACAAGUCUGAGAAACAGCCGUUUCCUGGACACCCUUAAAUAACUACAAGCAGGGCAAAGAGAAAACAAUCUGAUGGUCCUCCGAGAGGCCGGAUAACUCAGCAUCAACCGAAACGAUAAUGAUGAGCAAUAAGAAGACCAUUAGAGCAUGGAGCUGGGAUUGGUCCUAGAUAACCAUGUAGUUGGGCCUCUUAUUACACAAAGGGAGGAUGAAGUGCGGCAAAGAUCACUGGGCUAUAUACCUCACCCGCCCAAGCUGUCCUCAUGGUUUGACAUCGAUCUCCUCAGAUGCUCUGAGGUCAAGAUGGUCAUAGACCGAGCAAGAGCUUAGCUCCUGGGCCAAAUGGCGUACCCUAAAGAGCGUACAAGAAGAGCUGCCCGGGCCUUCUCAAGCUGCUAUGGAAAUUGAUAUCCAUAGCAUGGAAAACCCAAGCCAUUCCAUGGGCGUGGACCAAUGCCAUAACCACCUUGUUCCCAAGGGAGAAGGAUUCUCAGCAUGUCGGUCAAUUCAGAGGCAUCGAUCUCCUUACCGUGGAGGGGAAGAUUUUCUCCUUGGUUUUAGCAAAACACAUGACCAGAUACUCUCUGGAAAACUAGUACAUAGACACCACACCACAAAAGCUGUACACCACAAAAGCUGUAGUCCCAUGUUUUUCCGGCUGCGUGGAUCAUAGCUCCAUGAUUUGGGAACAAAUCCAAUCAGCAAAGAGCCACAAGGGCAAUCUCUAAAUCAUCUACAGUAGCUGACAAAUGCAUACAGUUCUGUCCCCCAUCAGCAGAUUAACUUCUCUCUAGAAUUCUUCCACAUACCAUCAUGUAUCCAGGACCUUAUUGUACAAACCGGAUUUGGUUGAAGUUGGGAAAUUGUGUAAAAUGUAAAUAAAAA